AGCAAGUCGAGCGAACGGACGAGAAGCUUGCUUCUCUGAUGUUAGCGGCGGACGGGUGAGUAACACGUGGAUAACCUACCUAUAAGACUGGGAUAACUUCGGGAAACCGGAGCUAAUACCGGAUAAUAUUUUGAACCGCAUGGUUCAAAAGUGAAAGACGGUCUUGCUGUCACUUAUAGAUGGAUCCGCGCUGCAUUAGCUAGUUGGUAAGGUAACGGCUUACCAAGGCAACGAUGCAUAGCCGACCUGAGAGGGUGAUCGGCCACACUGGAACUGAGACACGGUCCAGACUCCUACGGGAGGCAGCAGUAGGGAAUCUUCCGCAAUGGGCGAAAGCCUGACGGAGCAACGCCGCGUGAGUGAUGAAGGUCUUCGGAUCGUAAAACUCUGUUAUUACGGAAGAACAUAUGUGUAAGUAACUGUGCACAUCUUGACGGUACCUAAUCAGAAAGCCACGGCUAACUACGUGCCAGCAGCCGCGGUAAUACGUAGGUGGCAAGCGUUAUCCGGAAUUAUUGGGCGUAAAGCGCGCGUAGGCGGUUUUUUAAGUCUGAUGUGAAAGCCCUCGGCUCAACCGUGGAGGGUCAUUGGAAACUGGAAAACUUGAGUGCAGAAGAGGAAAGUGGAAUUCCAUGUGUAGCGGUGAAAUGCGCAGAGAUAUGGAGGAACACCAGUGGCGAAGGCGACUUUCUGGUCUGUAACUGACGCUGAUGUGCGAAAGC
rnacentral:rRNA from 1 species